rnacentral:lncRNA from 1 species
GGGCACUCUGGUUCCUACAAUGAAUAUGCUACAGCCAACAUACACCUCAGGGUUCUGAAUGACUAAGAGACUGAGUUAUGGUGUAGUCAAACUAUAAUACACUCAAGGUGAACUAUUGAUGUACCUCAGGUCAAAAAACUAGACACACAGCUGCAACAUCGAGCUAGUCAUCGACGAAAAGGUAGACUUUCUUAUGACUGCUCGAG